rnacentral:rRNA from 1 species
CAGCCGCCGCGGUAAUACCGGCGGCCCGAGUGGCGGCCACUAUUAUUGGGCCUAAAGCGUCCGUAGCCGGGCUGGUAAGUCCCCCGGGAAAUCUGGCGGCUUAACCGUCAGAAUUCCGGGGGAUACUGCCAGCCUAGGGACCGGGAGAGGCCGGGGGUAUUCCCGGGGUAGGGGUGAAAUCCUGUAAUCCCGGGAGGACCACCUGUGGCGAAGGCGCCCGGCUGGAACGGGUCCGACGGUGAGGGACGAAGGCCAGGGGAGCGAACCGGAUUAGAUACCCGGGUAGUCCUGGCGGUAAACGAUGCGGACUUUGUGUCGGACAAGCUAUGAGCUUGUCCGGUGCCGGAGGGAAACCGUUAAGUCCGCCGCCUGGGGAGUACGGCCGCAAGGUUGAAACUUAAAGGAAUUGGCGGG